UACGUAGGGGGCAAGCGUUGUCCGGAAUCAUUGGGCGUAAAGAGCGUGUAGGCGGCCAGAUAAGUCCGCUGUGAAAUCUCGAGGCUCAACUUCGAGCUGUCGGUGGAAACUGUCUGGCUAGAGUCCGGAAGAGGAGAAUGGAAUUCCUGGUGUAGCGGUGAAAUGCGCAGAUAUCUGGAGGAACACCGGUGGCGAAGGCGGCAUCCUGGACCAACACUGACGCUGAGUGAGCGAAAGCCAGGGGAGCAAACGGG
rnacentral:rRNA from 1 species